rnacentral:rRNA from 1 species
UACAGAGGGUGCAAGCGUUAAUCGGAAUUACUGGGCGUAAAGCGCGCGUAGGUGGUUCGUUAAGUUGGAUGUGAAAUCCCCGGGCUCAACCUGGGAACUGCAUUCAAAACUGUCGAGCUAGAGUAUGGUAGAGGGUGGUGGAAUUUCCUGUGUAGCGGUGAAAUGCGUAGAUAUAGGAAGGAACACCAGUGGCGAAGGCGACCACCUGGACUGAUACUGACACUGAGGUGCGAAGGUCAGGGGAGCAAACGGG